AUCCUGAAGCGCAAGGAAUAGUGCGAUGGACUACUAAUCCAAAGGUCGUAGGUUCGAAUCCUACCUGGGAUG